CGGAGGAAAAGAAACCAACAGGGAUUGCCCUAGUAACGGCGAGUGAAGCGGCAAUAGCUCAAAUUUGAAAGCUGGCCUUUGGUCCGCAUUGUAAUUUGUAGAGGAUGCUUUUAGGCAGCCGCCGGUCUAAGUUCCUUGGAACAGGACGUCAUAGAGGGUGAGAAUCCCGUAUGUGACCGGCUCAGGCACCUUCUGUAAAGCUCCUUCGACGAGUCGAGUUGUUUGGGAAUGCAGCUCUAAAUGGGAGGUAAAUUUCUUCUAAAGCUAAAUACUGGCGAGAGACCGAUAGCGCACAAGUAGAGUGAUCGAAAGAUGAAAAGUACUUUGGAAAGAGAGUUAAAAAGCACGUGAAAUUGUUGAAAGGGAAGCGCUUGCAAUCAGACUUGGCCUCGGUUGUUCAACCGGUCUUUUGACCGGCCUAUUCAAUCGGGGGCAGGCCAGCAUCAGUUUCGGCGGCCGGAUAAAGGCCUUGGGAAUGUGGCCUCUCCUUCGGGGGAGGUGUUAUAGCCCAGGGUGUAAUACGGUCAGCUGGGACUGAGGUCCGCGCUUCGGCUAGGAUGCUGGCGUAAUGGUUGUAAGCGGCCCGU
rnacentral:rRNA from 1 species